rnacentral:rRNA from 1 species
GAAAGGGACGGCUAANUACGUGCCAGCAGCCGCGGUAAUACGUAGGUCCCGAGCGUUNUCCGGAUUUAUUGGGCGUAAAGCGAGCGCNGGCGGUUAGAUAAGUCUGAAGUUAAAGGCUGUGGCUUAACCAUAGUACGCUUUGGAAACUGUUUAACUUGAGUGCAGAAGGGGAGAGUGGAAUUCCAUGUGUAGCGGUGAAAUGCGUAGAUAUAUGGAGGAACGCCGGUGGCGAAAGCGGCUCUCUGGUCUGUAACUGACGCUGAGGCUCGAAAGCGUGGGGAGCGAACAGGAUUAGAUACCCUGGUAGUCCACGCCGUAAACGAUGAGUGCUAGGUGUUAGGCCCUUUCCGGGGCUUAGUGCCGCAGCUAACGCAUUAAGCACUCCGCCUGGGGAGUACGACCGCAAGGUUGAAACUCAAAGGAAUUGACGGGGGCCCGCACAAGCGGUGGAGCAUGUGGUUUAAUUCGAAGCAACGCGAAGAACCUUACCAGGUCUUGACAUCCCGAUGCCCGCUCUAGAGAUAGAGUUUUACUUCGGUACAUCGGUGACAGGUGGUGCAUGGUUGUCGUCAGCUCGUGUCGUGAGAUGUUGGGUUAAGUCCCGCAACGAGCGCAACCCUUAUUGUUAGUUGCCAUCAUUCAGUUGGGCACUCUAGCGAGACUGCCGGUAAUAAACCGGAGGAAGGUGGGGAUGACGUCAAAUCAUCAUGCCCCUUAUGACCUGGGCUACACACGUGCUACAAUGGCUGGUACAACGAGUCGCAAGUCGGUGACGGCAAGCUAGUCUCUUAAAGCCAGUCUCAGUUCGGAUUGUAGGCUGCAACUCGCCUACAUGAAGUCGGAAUCGCUAGUAAUCGCGGAUCAGCACGCCGCGGUGAAUACGUUCCCGGGCCUUGUACACACCGCCCGUCACACCACGAGAGUUUGUAACACCCGAAGUCGGUGAGGUAACCUUUU